GAAAAGUGACCUGGGCAGCAGAGUGAAGUGGACUGGAGUUGGGAGAGACAGGAGGCAAGGAGAUCAGUUGAGGAGGCAAGCUGCUGGUGGUAUGCUGUGGCCCUUCAUCACUGGGCAGAGAAGAACAGACCAUGGACUGUCAUCCCACCCUUCCCCCCAAUUCUGACACAAGCCACCUCUGAGAUUUCUCCAAAGGACUGAUCAGAAGAUCCCAAAUAAAAUAAUAAUAACAAUGA